rnacentral:rRNA from 1 species
AGAGUUUGAUCAUGGCUCAGAUUGAACGCUGGCGGCAGGCCUAACACAUGCAAGUCGAGCGGAUGAAGGGAGCUUGCUCCUGGAUUCAGCGGCGGACGGGUGAGUAAUGCCUAGGAAUCUGCCUGGUAGUGGGGGAUAACGUCCGGAAACGGGCGCUAAUACCGCAUACGUCCUGAGGGAGAAAGUGGGGGAUCUUCGGACCUCACGCUAUCAGAUGAGCCUAGGUCGGAUUAGCUAGUUGGUGGGGUAAAGGCCUACCAAGGCGACGAUCCGUAACUGGUCUGAGAGGAUGACCAGUCACACUGGAACUGAGACACGGUCCAGACUCCUACGGGAGGCAGCAGUGGGGAAUAUUGGACAAUGGGCGAAAGCCUGAUCCAGCCAUGCCGCGUGUGUGAAGAAGGUCUUCGGAUUGUAAAGCACUUUAAGUUGGGAGGAAGGGCAGUAAGUUAAUACCUUGCUGUUUUGACGUUACCAACAGAAUAAGCACCGGCUAACUUCGUGCCAGCAGCCGCGGUAAUACGAAGGGUGCAAGCGUUAAUCGGAAUUACUGGGCGUAAAGCGCGCGUAGGUGGUUCAGCAAGUUGGAUGUGAAAUCCCCGGGCUCAACCUGGGAACUGCAUCCAAAACUACUGAGCUAGAGUACGGUAGAGGGUGGUGGAAUUUCCUGUGUAGCGGUGAAAUGCGUAGAUAUAGGAGGGAACACCAGUGGCGAAGGCGACCACCCGGACUGAUACUGACACUGAGGUGCGAAAGCGUGGGAGCAAACAGGAUUAGAUACCCUGGUAGUCCACGCCGUAAACGAUGUCGACUAGCCGUUGGGAUCCUUGAGAUCUUAGUGGCGCAGCUAACGCGAUAAGUCGACCGCCUGGGGAGUACGGCCGCAAGGUUAAAACUCAAAUGAAUUGACGGGGGCCCGCACAAGCGGUGGAGCAUGUGGUUUAAUUCGAAGCAACGCGAAGAACCUUACCUGGCCUUGACAUGCUGAGAACUUUCCAGAGAUGGAUUGGUGCCUUCGGGAACUCAGACACAGGUGCUGCAUGGCUGUCGUCAGCUCGUGUCGUGAGAUGUUGGGUUAAGUCCCGUAACGAGCGCAACCCUUGUCCUUAGUUACCAGCACCUCGGGUGGGCACUCUAAGGAGACUGCCGGUGACAAACCGGAGGAAGGUGGGGAUGACGUCAAGUCAUCAUGGCCCUUACGGCCAGGGCUACACACGUGCUACAAUGGUCGGUACAAAGGGUUGCCAAGCCGCGAGGUGGAGCUAAUCCCAUAAAACCGAUCGUAGUCCGGAUCGCAGUCUGCAACUCGACUGCGUGAAGUCGGAAUCGCUAGUAAUCGUGAAUCAGAAUGUCACGGUGAAUACGUUCCCGGGCCUUGUACACACCGCCCGUCACACCAUGGGAGUGGGUUGCUCCAGAAGUAGCUAGUCUAACCGCAAGGGGGACGGUUACCACGGAGUGAUUCAUGACUGGGGUGAAGUCGUAACAAGGUAGCCGUAGGGGUACCUGCGGCUG